CGAGAAUUUAAGACUUAAAAGAUAUGUUAUUUCAGCAAAUGCGACACUUAACUUGAAUGUGGAUAGCGACCACGCGAUUCAGUCAGAGACUACCGACUAUUCAUGCAGUAAUGUUGACUGUCAAAACGGUGGUACUUGUUUGUACGGAAUGUGUCUCUGUACAGCAGAAUAUAUGGGGGUUGUGUGUGAUGAACCCUUGUCUCAGUCUUCUACUUAUGACGAUUAUUCAUGUAGUGGUGUAGUCUGUCAAAAUGGUGGUACUUGUUCAUAUGGAUAUUGCCUUUGUACAUCAGCUUACUAUGGAGAGUUUUGUGAAAAUGCUAGCCCUUACUGCAAAAAUGGUAUGCUCUGUCAAAACGGUGGUACCUGUUCAGAUGGAAUGACGUGUCUCUGCACACCUGAAUAUACGGGGGAGUUUUGUAAUGAACCCUUUUUCCCACCUGUAAGUACUGAUAAUUAUUGUGGUAAUAUUAUCUGUCAUAACGGUGGUUUAUGUAUGAACGAGGUGUGUAAUUGUAUAGGAGAAUAUGGCGGAGAGACGUGUGAUGAACUUGUUCCAUAUGGCAAUGAUUAUUUAUGUGACUAUGUGAACUGUCAUAAUGGUGGGAUCUGUAUGGACGGGAUUUGUGAAUGUCUACUGCCAUUCGCGGGGCCUUUAUGCGAAGACUUCCAAUGGUAGUCUGAUAUGCUUUUCUAAUGGGCCUGUAUAUUCGACAACUAUAUGAAAGAACCAUUGGUCACGAUGCAAAGUAUUGAAAAUAAAUCAUGAACCAAAG